AGUGAACGCUGGCGGUAGGCCUAACACAUGCAAGUCGAACGGCAGCACAGUAAGAGCUUGCUCUUACGGGUGGCGCGUGGCGGACGGGUGAGGAAUACAUCGGAAUCUACUUUUUCGUGGGGGAUAACGUAGGGAAACUUACGCUAAUACUGCAUACGACCUACGGGUGAAAGCAGGGGAUCUUCGGACCUUGCGCGAUUGAAUGAGCCGAUGUCGGAUUAGCUAGUUGGCGGGGUAAAGGCCCACCACGGCGACGAUCCGUAGCUGGUCUGAGAGGAUGAUCAGCCACACUGGAACUGAGACACGGUCCAGACUCCGACGGGAGGCAGCAGUGGGGAAUAUUGGACAAUGGGCGCAAGCCUGAUCCAGCCAUACCGCGUGGGUGAAGAAGGCCUUCGGGUUGUAAAGCCCUUUUGUUGGGAAAGAAAAGCAGCAGGUUAAUACCCCGCUGUUCUGACGGUACCCAAAGAAUAAGCACCGGCUAACUUCGUG
rnacentral:rRNA from 1 species